GGCGCUAUAGUCUAUCGGUUAGGACGCGGCCCUUUCAAGGCUGAGAGACGGGUUCGACUCCCGUUAGCGCUA
rnacentral:tRNA from 1 species